AAAUAGAUUUUUCAUCGUUACGGCGGUUGAUCGUGAUCUAGUAUUACAUUUACAUACCGGUGAUCUUGUCACCGAGCUGCAGCAGGUCGGAGCUCGUGUUUGUGUAGGAGAAUCCGACGCCCACCGGGGACUCCAGGAACAUAAGGUUGGCCUCUGUGUUCCAGGAGUAGUUGUUCCAUCUGAGCUCCGGCUUGCCCUUCUGCACCAGGAAGGGCCCCAGCUCCUCCGCUUCCCCGUACCCAAUCGACGAGCAUCCGGGCCCUGCGACGGGGACGACGACAACAACACUCUUCAGUCGCUUCUGACCAAGGAGGAAAAAAAAGGUAUUUCUUGCUUG
rnacentral:misc_RNA from 1 species